UACGAAGGGGGCUAGCGUUGUUCGGAAUUACUGGGCGUAAAGCGUGCGCAGGCGGCCAUCCAAGUCGGUGGUGAAAUCCUGGAGCUCAACUCCAGAACUGCCUUCGAUACUGGGAGUCUCGAGUCCGGGAGAGGUGAGUGGAACUGCGAGUGUAGAGGUGAAAUUCGUAGAUAUUCGCAGGAACACCAGUGGCGAAGGCGGCUCACUGGCCCGGUACUGACGCUGAGGUGCGAAAGCGUGGGGAGCAAACAGG
rnacentral:rRNA from 1 species